AUUUGAUUUGACCAUUGAUUUUUAAAAUAAAUGUUUGAAAAAUAGGCUUUUGUUGAGUGGUCAGUCUACUGACCACUGUCUACUUCUGGGGACCAAACAGUCUUGUACCAAGUGCGCCAGCAGGGAUUCUGCAGGUACCUCCCUUCACAUGUGCUGGACCAAAUUUGUGUUCUGAAAAUCAUCGAAUAGGUCUUUCUCCCACUUGCAUAUUAUUCACAUCAUCAUGACUGCACAGAAGUAUUUCCUUAAUUGGUUUUAAUCAUCUAGGACUUCUAACUCUUAACAAGAAAAAAAAAACAACUUUAAGCAUCUUCCCUAAAAAUGAACAUAAAAGCAGUUAUCCAAAUGACUAAACAAACAAACCUCAAGAAAAUGCAAAGUAGCUUCCUUGAAAUGUUUUAACAGUUUGGGAAUAAUGUAGGUAGCCAAUAUGAUAAUUCCAGAAAUACCUAUUAUUUGUAACUCAAGGAAAAAAUGUGGAAACAGUGUUAACAUAAGCAUGCCUACGCAAAAUUUUUAAAAAGUGAAAAACAAAGAAAUAAAGGCAGUGUCUUGUCUACAGAAGAUAAUGUAACAGAUAAUUUCUGUGGACAGAGGUUGUGAUUAAAAAUUUAAAAUACCCUCCCCUCUUAUAGCUGCAGGAAACAUAAGUUGGCUUGGUUAAAAAUAAAAGCCCCCAGGACACAAAGAGAGAAUGAUGGAGACUUUGCUCUCAGUGCUGUGCCCUUUCCCAGCUCCCUACAAAACCGCCUCCAGUCACAGAGGAGUAAUUUACUAAUCCUGAGAAUUGCUGAGCACUGGCAAAAAAUAAACAAAAAGAUCUUAACAUUCUCACCUUCUACCAGCUGAAACCGCUCUCUUGCUAUCAACAAUCAAGGGAAAAGGAAGGUCAAAGGUUGGAAAGCAGUCUUUAUUCAAACUCUGCCGGUAAUUUUAUCACCAUUAAAUGUUCCCCAGUUCUUCAAAGAAUGUAUACCUGCUGCUUCUCCCCACAGCAAACCAGAAAAUGGCUGCAGCUGCCAGAAAAAAUUCAUUCCACAGAUCACAGGGCAACCUUGGGAGAAAGCAGAGUCCCUGGCAGGUGCCCUGAGUACAAGUGACAGUGGGGAACAAGCUAACUGACUUCCUUACAGAUGUGGGAGGUUACCUAAUCAGCACUUAAUAGAAAACUAACCAGGAAAAGUUCAGCUGUGGUGUCAGUUACUGGAAUGAACAAUUACAAAAACAGGUGUUCCUUCAACCUCUAAAUGCCAGUCUGGGGAUCAAAAACUUUUGAUUAGUUUUCUUUACAUGCUAAACUGCCCCAUUCCAUUGCUAGGCCAAGAUUUACUUUGUAAAUUGCCUACACAAAUAACUUUUUCCCCUGAGAAGUAGGAAUUAAUGUUUAGGAGUCCCUUGGGAACAUGCUCUCUAGCUCCAGGUGCUCCAAAUUUGCCCAAAAGGACUCAGAGGUGAAAUCUUCCCACAUGAGAUCUACAAGCAGGUUGCUAGAGCCAUUUGGACUGAUGGAACCCAGGUAGGGCAAUUAACACCCAACCUGUAAAAAUUAACCUAAAGGAAGGGCAUGGAUCCCACUAAGAAAUAACACCCUCUUAAAAAA